rnacentral:rRNA from 1 species
UGGGGAAUAUUGGACAAUGGGCGCAAGCCUGAUCCAGCAAUGCCGCGUGUGUGAAGAAGGCCUGCGGGUUGUAAAGCACUUUCAGUAGAGAAGAAAAGCUCGAGGUUAAUACCCUCGGGUCUUGACGUAACCUACAGAAGAAGCACCGGCUAACUCCGUGCCAGCAGCCGCGGUAAUACGGAGGGUGCGAGCGUUAAUCGGAAUUACUGGGCGUAAAGCGCGCGUAGGUGGUUCUGUAAGUCGGAUGUGAAAGCCGAGGGCUUAACCUUGGAACUGCAUUCGAUACUGCAGAACUAGAGUAUGGUAGAGGGAAGUGGAAUUUCCGGUGUAGCGGUGAAAUGCGUAGAUAUCGGAAGGAACACCAGUGGCGAAGGCGCUCUACUGGGCCGCAACUGACGCUGAUGGACGAAAGCUAGGGGAGCGAAUGGGAUUAGAUACCCCCGUAGUCC